GGGGGGAGCAAGCGUUGUUCGGAUUUACUGGGCGUAAAGGGCGGGUAGGCGGCCACCGCAAGUCAGUUGUGAAAUCUCUGGGCUUAACCCAGAAAGGUCAACUGAUACUGCGGGGCUAGAGUGCAGAAGGGGCAACUGGAAUUCUCGGUGUAGCGGUGAAAUGCGUAGAUAUCGAGAGGAACACCUGCGGCGAAGGCGGGUUGCUGGGCUGACACUGACGCUGAACUGCGAAAGCUAGGGGAGCGAACGGGAUUAGAUACCCCGGUAGUCCUAGCCUUAAACGAUGAAUGCUUGGUGUCUGGGGUUUUAUAGUCCCCGGGUGCCGUCGCUAACGCUUUAAGCAUUCCGCCUGGGGAGUACGGCCGCAAGGUUG
rnacentral:rRNA from 1 species